UACGAAGGGGGCUAGCGUUGUUCGGAAUUACUGGGCGUAAAGGGCGCGUAGGCGGUGCCUCAAGUCAGGCGUGAAAGCCCCGGGCUCAACCUGGGAACCGCGCUUGAGACUGGAGUACUAGAGUUCGGGAGAGGAUGGUGGAAUUCCCAGUGUAGAGGUGAAAUGCGUAGAUAUCUGGAGGAACACCGGUGGCGAAGGCGGCAUCCUGGACCGACAUUGACGCUGAGGCGCGAAAGCCAGGGGAGCAAACGGG
rnacentral:rRNA from 1 species